GUUGGUGUCAGAGAGCAGGUGGCGUCGGUGGCUGCGAGCAGAGCUAGGAGCGGCGAUGGCAGAAGACCAAGGCUUAGGGUUUCCUGUUUCUUUUUUUUUUGUGUUGGGCCAUUUGGGCUGUUUAGGUUUUGUUUAGGAUUGGGUUUGGGUUGAGUUUAAUUUCGGGCCUGUAAUUGGGUUUGGGUAGGUUUAAUUGGUUUGGGUUUGUUUAAGUGUACUGGGCUG
rnacentral:lncRNA from 1 species